UUUGGGGAUUAUUACAUCAGUCUAAUUGAAGAAAUCAAUUUGAUUGUUGCAGAAAAAAGAGGGAAAUUGGAGAAUUACUUCGACUAGGAUCGAAUUUGGCCGGAGGAGUAGGCGUUUCUGGUGGCGGAUCAUCGGGGUUUGAUGGAAAUUCCGGCGGAGAAGGAAGAGUAGGUUCAGGUGUAGUAGCUGGCUUCUCUUCUUCCGCCAUUGAAGGGAGUUUCAGGUUUCUUUUUCUCACAAUUGAUUCUUUUUUAAUUGUUC
rnacentral:lncRNA from 1 species